ACGGAUUAAUGAAUGAUUAUAGGUCUCUUGCUGUUUGUAGCUCUGUUGCAAAUCUCAAGCGUUUUGGCAAAGUGGUUCUACUAACUGCUUUUCAUUCUUUUAAGUGGUCUUUAGGCGCUCUGAAUAAGUGUAACUCGUUCUUUAAAUGUACACUACUUAAACCCAUUAUUUUACAAUUGCGGUUUUGGCAUUAUUAUUCAUAGUUUAAUAAGU
rnacentral:misc_RNA from 1 species